AGCGAACGCUGGCGGCAGGCUUAACACAUGCAAGUCGAACGGGCAUCUUCGGAUGUCAGUGGCAGACGGGUGAGUAACACGUGGGAACGUACCCUUCGGUUCGGAAUAGCUCAGGGAAACUUGAGCUAAUACCGGAUACGCCCUUUUGGGGAAAGGUUUACUGCCGAAGGAUCGGCCCGCGUCUGAUUAGCUUGUUGGUGGGGUAACGGCCUACCAAGGCGACGAUCAGUAGCUGGUCUGAGAGGAUGAUCAGCCACACUGGGACUGAGACACGGCCCAGACUCCUACGGGAGGCAGCAGUGGGGAAUAUUGGACAAUGGGCGCAAGCCUGAUCCAGCCAUGCCGCGUGAGUGAUGAAGGCCUUAGGGUUGUAAAGCUCUUUUGUCCGGGACGAUAAUGACGGUACCGGAAGAAUAAGCCCCGGCUAACUUCGUG
rnacentral:rRNA from 1 species